rnacentral:lncRNA from 1 species
AAAGGUACGGUUUUAAAAAGUUUACCCAUUUAUACAAUAAGUACCAGUAUUUUUUUUUGGUAAAAAAUAAGUACCAGUAUUGACAAAGAAAAAGAACCCAAAUAGCACUUAGAAAAAUUUAACCGAAUGAGAAUGUUUAGUUCAUAUCUACAAACAUCAAUAUCGAAUUUAUUGAGACCUAGCAGCAGGAAUUAGCAAUGGCUAGUCCAGAUAGUGUAUGGAUCAAAG